UACCCCGUGGUGUAACGGUAACACAAGUGGUUUUGGUCCAUUCAUUCCAGGUUCGAAUCCUGGCGGGGUAA
rnacentral:tRNA from 1 species